GCUNCCUAAUACAUGCAAGUCGAGCGAAUGGAUUAAGAGCUUGCUCUUAUGAAGUUAGCGGCGGACGGGUGAGUAACACGUGGGUAACCUGCCCAUAAGACUGGGAUAACUCCGGGAAACCGGGGCUAAUACCGGAUAACAUUUUGAACCUGCAUGGUUCGAAAUUGAAAGGCGGCUUCGGCUGUCACUUAUGGAUGGACCCGCGUCGCAUUAGCUAGUUGGUGAGGUAACGGCUCACCAAGGCAACGAUGCGUAGCCGACCUGAGAGGGUGAUCGGCCACACUUGGGACUUGAGACACGGCCCAGACUCCUACGGGAGGCAGCAGUAGGGAAUCUUCCGCAAUGGACGAAAGUCUGACGGAGCAACGCCGCGUGAGUGAUGAAGGCUUUCGGGUCGUAAAACUCUGUUGUUAGGGAAGAACAAGUGCUAGUUGAAUAAGCUGGCACCUUGACGGUACCUAACCAGAAAGCCACGGCUAACUACGUGCCAGCAGCCGCGGUAAUACCGUAGGUGGCAAGCGUUAUCCGGAAUUAUUGGGCGUAAAGCCCGCGCAGGUGGUUUCUUAAGUCUGAUGUGAAAGCCCACGGCUCACCGUGGAGGGUCAUUGGAAACUGGGAGACUUGAGUGCAGAAGAGAAAGUGGAAUUCCAUGUGUAGCGGUGAAAUGCGUAGAGAUAUGGAGGAACACCAGUGGCGAAGGCGACUUUCUGGUCUGUAACUGAAACUGAGGCGCGAAAGCGGGGGGCAAACAGGUUAGAUACCCUGG
rnacentral:rRNA from 1 species